rnacentral:rRNA from 1 species
UACGUAGGGACCGAGCGUUGUCCGGAUUCAUUGGGCGUAAAGAGCUCGUAGGCGGCCACUCAAGUCGAAUGUGAAACCUCGAGGCUAACCUCGAGCCUGCAUUCGAUACUGGGCGGCUAGAGUCUGGUAGGGGGAUCUGGAAUUCCUGGUGUAGCGGUGGAAUGCGCAGAUAUCAGGAGGAACACCGGUGGCGAAGGCGGGAUCCUGGGCCAGUACUGACGCUGAGGCGCGAAAGCCAGGGGAGCGGAACGGG